rnacentral:rRNA from 1 species
CCUACGGGGGGCAGCAGUGAGGAAUAUUGGUCAAUGGGCGCAAGCCUGACCCAGCAACGCCGCGUGAAGGAAGACGGCUUUCGGGUUGUAAACUUCUUUUCUCAGGGACGAAGAAAGUGACGGUACCUGCGGUUUAAGCCACGGUUAACUACGGGCCAGCAGCCGCGGUAAUACGUAGGUGGCAAGCGUUAUCCGGAUUUACUGGGUGUAAAGGGCGUGUAGGCGGGGAGGCAAGUCAGAUGUGAAAUCCACGGGCUCAACCUGUGGAUUGCAUUUGAAACUGGUUUUCUUGAGUACUGGAGAGGCAGACGGAAUUCGUGGUGUAGCGGUGAAAUGCGUAGAUAUUAGGAGGAACACCAAUGGCGAAGGCAGUCUGCUAAACAGCAACUGACGUUGAGGCGCGAAAGCGUGGGGAGCAAACAGGAUUAGAUACCCUUGUAGUC